rnacentral:rRNA from 1 species
GACGUAGGGCGCGAGCGUUUGUCCGGAUUUAUUGGGCGUAAAGAGCUCGUAGGCGGCUUGUCGCGUCGUCCGUGAAAAACCUGCAGCUCAACUGCAGGCUUGCGGUCGAUACGGGCAGGCUAGAGUUCGGUAGGGGGAGACUGGAAUUCCUGGUGUAGCGGUGAAAUGCGCAGAUAUCAGGAGGAACACCGGUGGCGAAGGCGGGGUCUCUGGGGCCGAUACUGACGUGAGGAGCGAAAAGCGUGGGGGAGCGAACAGG